rfam:Micromonas sp. RCC299 chromosome 1, complete sequence.
GGGACAUUGGUCUAGUGGUAUGAUACCUUCUUAGGGUGGAGGUGGUCGAGGGUUCGAUUCCCUCAUGUCCCC